AUGAUGCAACCACUAUAAACAAUAAUAUGAAUCACAUCUAUACUGGAAUUUUAAUUGAAUUUGUGUAUAAAAGACACCAAGUACUUGUAAAACAUGUUUGUGGUUUACUGAUGCCGGAUGAAGCGGUCUAACACUUAUUGGUGAUAAGUUGUCGAUCUAAAUCUUUUCUGCAUCGGUGUGAUCUAAUGGUAGCUUUAUAAUCCAGAGAAAAUGGCCGAAAACAUCCGAAACUCACUGAAUGACAUGAACGAAAGUCACCGUCCUGUCUCUAACAAAAUGUCUUCCAGCAGUUUAAACAUAAUCAACGAAACGUGCCACCAAAAGAAACUCGAGAUCAAAAACUUAAGUAAAAGCAGCUUAAAUUCGUCUCAAGAGCUUAAACAGAAAAACAAUGUGCCUUCUUCCUCUCAGAACUUUGUACCCAGCGAUAACAUUCUUCCACCAGAUCCGAUUGUAACAGCAUAUCGGAAAAAUCUGGAUUUAAUGAAGAAAGGAGGAUUUUAUAUGUUUAUUGUGAUUAUGUGUGUCUGCAUCUCAUUUAGUAUAUGUUAUGUCAUGAAUAUGUCAAGAAAUGAAACAUCCGAAUCUCAUUCUGAACUUUGCGUUUUCAAAUUGGAUCAAACAAAACUAAAAUCAUUGGUUAAUUCUUCAAAAGAAAUUCCAUUUGUUGAUGCGAAAUGUGAUUUUCUAUCUUUCAAUACACGAGGACAGAAGUUCGAAGUUCAAAUGUCCGGUAGCUUUGAACUCUCAUUGUCAGUUGCUUUGCGAUUAAACAAUUCUGUUGGCCGGAAUGCUUUGAUGUGUAUAGACUAUAAACUUAGCAAUGACAGGAAAAGAGAAGUGUGUAGCAGGGCUCAAUUUCCUUCCUACGAUUCAAAUUCCGCCAUUAUUAAUUUGGGUUUACCAGACGGAGCAAAUCUGAGUGCACGUGAUGAAUUUCACGUGAAAAUAAGCAACAUGCUCAAUGUAUAUAUUCAAGAUUCCUUGACCAGGCUGGUUGUCAAAUAUUACAAGCCUUAAAUCCUAUCUACGCUAUAAGAUGGUCUAUGCGAUGCGAAGCGUAUUAACUAAAAUAAAAUUAAUCAUUUGUGUAAACCGAAAUAUUAAAUGGAUUCGUAUUUACAUAUAUGUAAUUGUGGAGAGAGAGAGAGAGAGAGAGAGAGAGAGAGAGAGAGAGAGAGAGAGAGAGAGAGAGAUGUACAUUUAAAAUAAAUACGUAAUACUAACUGA